rnacentral:rRNA from 1 species
GCAAGUCGAGGGGUAACAGAGGUAGCUUGCUACUUGCUGACGACCGGCGCACGGGUGCGUAACGCGUAUACAAUCUACCUUAUACUGGGGAAUAGCCUUUGGAAACGAAGAUUAAUGCCCCAUAGUAUUAUUGAAUGGCAUCGUUUAAUAAUUAAAGUUUCGGCGGUAUAAGAUGAGUAUGCGUUCUAUUAGUUAGUUGGUAAGGUAACGGCUUACCAUUGCUACGAUGGGUAGGGGCCCUGAGAGGGGGAUC